CCAAUAGCGUAUAUUAAGGUUGCUGCGGUUAAAAAGCUCGUAGUUGAAUUUCGGGAUUGAUGCAUCGGUCGUGCCUUAAGGGGUAUGAACUGGUGUAGCCAAUUCCUUACCUUCUGGUGAAUUGUGAUGUCCUCCUUAAUUGGGUGUUUCAAUGAACUAGGACUUUUUACUUUGAAAAAAUUAGAGUGUUUAAAGCAGGCAUUAUUUGCUUGAAUACAUUAGCAUGGAAUAAUAAAAUAGGACAAUGGUUCUAUUUUGUUGGUUUCUAGGAUCACUGUAAUGAUUAAUAGGGAUAGUUGGGGGCAUUAGUAUUCAAUUGUCAGAGGUGAAAUUCUUGGAUUAAUUGAAGACUAACUACUGCGAAAGCAUUUGCCAAGGAUAUUUUCAUUAAUCAAGAACGAAAGUUAGGGGAUCGAAGACGAUUAGGUACGUCGUAGUCUUAACCAUAAACUAUGCCGACUAGGAAUCAGACAACGUUAAAUUUUUAAUGACUUGUUUGGCACCUUACG
rnacentral:rRNA from 1 species